UACGUAGGGUGCAAGCGUUAAUCGGAAUUACUGGGCGUAAAGCGUGCGCAGGCGGUUAUAUAAGACAGAUGUGAAAUCCCCGGGCUCAACCUGGGAACUGCAUUAGUGACUGUAUAGCUGGAGUGCGGCAGAGGGGGAUGGAAUUCCGCGUGUAGCAGUGAAAUGCGUAGAUAUGCGGAGGAACACCGAUGGCGAAGGCAGCCCCCUGGGACGCCACUGACGCUCAUGCACGAAAGCGUGGGGAGCAAACAGG
rnacentral:rRNA from 1 species